CGUGCCGGCCGGUUCGUCUCCUCUGCCUCUCUUCGGUUCGGCGGCGGGGUCGGCGGUGAGUCCAGCCCGGUGAUCUCAAGUCCUUACCCAACAUCUCCUUGCGGUUUCUGUGCAAUUGCUUCGCCCUGCUAUACAAUCGAAGACAAGGGACUCUGAAAUUUGGCUGUCGACUGAUUCUGCUAGUUUCGUUCUCAUGAAAUAAAAUAUAUAUAAAAAUACUGCUGCUGCCGCCGCGGUCUUUGUGGUUUGGAGUGUGCUUUAAGUUUAAGGUGCCUGCCAUCAUACACGCCUUCAUGAUUCACCAGUUCAUCAUACCUAAUCUGAUCCUCUUUUGACUGUGCAAUGGCAGCAAGCGUCCUAGGAUGACGCGCCCGGCAUAUAUGUGUAGACAGAGGUGCUCCAUGGAGCAGGGGUGCCGUUUCAGUAGACACGGUUGUCUCUAGCCCCCAAUUUACUAUUGAUUUUACACCAACGGUGAGUCGAUGACCAUGUGCUGCUGCAUGCCUGCAUCCAGCGCAAAAAAAAUGCGCGAGUACGGCAUGCUUGCAAGGUUAAUCUGAGGUUCUUGACGCGUGAGUCCUUGGCUCUGGUUUUCGUUCCUUGGAUCACUACCUGCUUGUAUUGUACUGCUGUUUAACUGUUGGCUGUUCAAAGUUACAAUUUUCAGAGUAUCGAACGUUGAUCGUUUUCAUUUUGGUUUUAUGAUUCAUUUCUGCUUCUCGUUUUCCUUUUUUCUUCUUCUUCUUGUUUUGAGGUUCUUCGCGGUUUCCAAUGAUCAUAGAACACUGGGGUCACAGGGCACGACCUCAAGUCCUCAACAAAUUCCGUGGGGCCAUUAGCUGCUAGAUUCUGUUGUUUGCAAUGAUCGACGGCGGUCAAUGCCUCCAGCUCCACCCCCUGUAUUAUCUUGCUAUAUGAUACAUGAUCCGUGACAGACUUAAAUUUGGGAUUAUCUCGUAGACACAUUUUUCAUAUGCAACGCCUACCUAUAUUUGGAGUCAGUGUGAAUUUUCAAAUGUACAUCAUCAUUGUGAGUACUAGUAGUGACGGUGUGAGGUAAUUUCCAAUCAACUCAUGAUAUAAGACCACAUGAAGUUGUUCUAGUCUUCUUGCUAAUGCUAUUAAGAUUCAUAACAGAAUGAGCUGGAGCAAACAACUUUCUCAUCAUGUAGUGUUUGAACCAAAUAAAAGUUCAGCAUGACAUCAGUUUUUUUUGCUGUCUUCCGGGCCACCAUGGCAUACUGCCUGGCUCUAUCUUCCUGCUUUGCAAAAAGGUAACUUGACUAAAAUUUUGUCUUACUUUUUGGAUCAUGGCGUCCUGCCAUAGUUCUUAGUUUUGACACUGUCCAAGCUAAGUGCACCUGUGCUUUUGGGGGCUUCCUCUUUAGUUGUUAUAUACAAUUGCAACAAUAAGGCAUGCCCCUUGAUUUCAGGAAGCACUAAGAGGUGAUGCGAUACAUCCUGCCAAUUGUUACAUCUCAUGCAUAAUACGUACAGUCGGUCUGUGCUGUGCAAUGCUUCAUAUGUGAUUCUCUUUGGACGUCAAUGCAAGGUUUCUGACCUCUGUUUUGGAUGUGUUAUACCUCAGAUUUUAGUUUUCUGUAGCAUGACAUCAAUUGACCAUGGAACUUCAUAAUUACUUCAAGAUGCUAACAGAGGGCCAUGUUGAAGACUUGAACUAACAGAGGGCAUGAUCAUUAAUGUUGUCAAAAUUCAGAAAUACCUUGAAGAACAGCAGAGCCUUCGAUUUUGCACAAGAACAGUGUAAGAGAGUUUCAGAACCACCACAUGAUGAGACAUUCUAUAUAUAUGUUUCUCCAGACUGAGGUAUAGACAUGCAGUGAAAAGCAAAGGUACACAUUCUUGGGAAUAGUUAACAAUCUCCCAAAUUGAGGUGAAGAUUGGAGCUGAUGGUGAACAAGCAACGAAUAUACUGCAUAAUUGCGUUCAUAUCAGUGUAAAAUGGGCACAGCUAACCUGAAAAACAAAACUCAAAUGCAUAUUAUAAAAGCUGACUAUGUCACAAAUAAAGUAGGGAAAGAUGGUUACAGCUGUAUUAUAUGGGUACUUUUGGUUCAAUUGCUGCUUAGAGCCGAAAGAGAUCAAAGGACUCCAGUCCACUACCCACAGAACCCGGGCACUGCUCUCGAGAUGUUCUCGAAAGGACAAUUAUCUUGCUUAAUUAAAUAGUGACCAAAUACGCAUAGCUUCAUUGUGAAUUGGCCACUCGCUAAUUUUAUAUUUGUGUUUCUAAUCAUUCCAUAGUGUGCACCAAGGAACCAAUGGAAUUGUAUGGUCUACAACUCUAUAUUCGUGUUUCUUGACUUAGCAGGUUUACAAUGGAACGCUUUGAAAGGACAGGGUCAACUGUUUCUUGCAAGCUGGUUGAUGAAAAAUAUGCUGAUUGACAAUACACGCGAGUCCAAUUUGUUGCUAUCUGUUUAUUGCUGAAUGAUACUGUUAUUGAUAAAUUCCUGUAUGCAUGUCUUGAUGAAGUAAUGUUUAUUUGCGUUCACUCUAUUUGUAUCGAAGACUUGGAGUUUCGGUACGGAUUCAUUAUUCAAAAUAUGGGCUUGACCCACACCU